UUUAUCCAUCAAAAAGUUGCGUAACUAUAUGGCAACAUUAAAUAAAUGCUCCAUUUCUGCAUGAUAAAAGAACAAAAACAAAUAUCACCCUAUCAGCGAUCAGCUGUUCGAUUGUUUGGUAAAUAUUUAAAAAUUUGAAAUAGAAAAAUGAAAUUCGAAUAGAGCAGAUAUUUGUAAAAUGAAAAAAUAUUGAAAUGAAGCAGAAUUCUAAUUAUUAACAGAUAAUGCGAUCCUACUUCUACUGAUUAUUUACAUCACUUACUUUCAAAAAAUUGGAAAUUCACCACUCACAAUUUGUUAAUUUAAAUAUUUUUUGAAAAAUGUUGCUUGUAAGUGAUUGGAAAUUACAUUUUUCGAGUUGUUAGCUGUCUUCCUAAAUCGAAAUCGAGCAGAAUUCGUCUACAAGCCUUAUAUUUAUUUCAUAACCUCUAGGUACCAACAUUUAAAUAAAAAUCGACAAACGUACAUAUAUUUUCAUCACUUAUUUAUUUAUCUGAAACCAUCAAUGUAUGUAUGUAUACAAUAAACAAUUACACAAGUAUCUCCUUAACACAACUUACAACUUAUCUCAGUUUAUAAUAAGUAUAAAGUAAUACAAAAAACACUACAAGCCACGGCUUGAUAUUCAGCAACGUAUGCGUGACACUAAAGUUACGCUUAUUAUUGUUUUGAGUUUUGAGUUAAUAAAACUUUUAUCUCCUGCUGCAGAAGUUGCAAAUAGGCGUCGAGACUUGUUAAUGUAGUGGGUUAAAAUAUCAGAAAAACAUUUAAUGUCAAAUAUGUAUGUGUGUGUUUUUUCAUUAUGUUUAAUGAUUUAUUUAUUUGUGUAUAUUUGAACUUUUUUAUUUAUUUAUUUUUUUUUUU